rfam:Stegodyphus mimosarum contig33818, whole genome shotgun sequence.
ACCUUCGUAGUGUAGUGGUCAGCACGCUCGACGCGUAACCGAAGGGUCCGUGGUUCGAUUCCCGGCGAAGGCU